CCUACGGGGGGCAGCAGUGAGGAAUAUUGGGCAAUGGAAGCAACUCUGACCCAGCCAUGCCGCGUGAGUGAAGAAGGUUUUCGGAUUGUAAAGCUCUUUCGGAUGGGACGAUGAUGACGGUAGCAUCUAAAGAAGCCCCGACUAACUUCGUGUCAGCAGCCGCGGUAAUACGAAGGGGGCAAGCGUUGUUCGGAAUUACUGGGCGGAAAGGGAGUGUAGGUGGUUUAGUAAGAUAGUGGUGAAAUCCCAGAGCUUAACUUUGGAAUUGCCAUUAUAACUAUUAGACUAGAGUUACAGAGAGGUUAGUGGAAUACCCAGUGUAGAGGUGAAAUGCGUAGAUAUUGGGAAGAACACCAGUGGCGAAGGCGACUAUCUGGCUGUACAUUGACGCUGAGGCUCGAAAGCAUGGGGAGCAAACAGGAUUAGAUACCCUGGUAGUC
rnacentral:rRNA from 1 species